rnacentral:rRNA from 1 species
AGAGUUUGAUCCUGGCUCAGGACGAACGCUGGCGGCGUGCCUAAUACAUGCAAGUCGAGCGGACUUAAAAAGCUUGCUUUUUAAGUUAGCGGCGGACGGGUGAGUAACACGUGGGCAACCUGCCUGUAAGACUGGGAUAACUUCGGGAAACCGGAGCUAAUACCGGAUAAUCCUUUCCUACUCAUGUAGGAAAGCUGAAAGACGGUUUACGCUGUCACUUACAGAUGGGCCCGCGGCGCAUUAGCUAGUUGGUGAGGUAACGGCUCACCAAGGCGACGAUGCGUAGCCGACCUGAGAGGGUGAUCGGCCACACUGGGACUGAGACACGGCCCAGACUCCUACGGGAGGCAGCAGUAGGGAAUCUUCCGCAAUGGACGAAAGUCUGACGGAGCAACGCCGCGUGAGUGAUGAAGGUUUUCGGAUCGUAAAACUCUGUUGUUAGGGAAGAACAAGUACGAGAGUAACUGCUCGUACCUUGACGGUACCUAACCAGAAAGCCACGGCUAACUACGUGCCAGCAGCCGCGGUAAUACGUAGGUGGCAAGCGUUGUCCGGAAUUAUUGGGCGUAAAGCGCGCGCAGGCGGUCCUUUAAGUCUGAUGUGAAAGCCCACGGCUCAACCGUGGAGGGUCAUUGGAAACUGGGGGACUUGAGUGCAGAAGAGAAGAGUGGAAUUCCACGUGUAGCGGUGAAAUGCGUAGAGAUGUGGAGGAACACCAGUGGCGAAGGCGACUCUUUGGUCUGUAACUGA